AGGCCAAGCCGGUCUAACCAUGCAGUCGACGUGAAAGUAGCAAUACGAGUAAAGUGGCGCACGGGUGAGUAACACGUGGAUAAUCUACCCUGAAGUUUGGAAUAACCUGCCGAAAGGCGGGCUAAUACUUAGAUAGAUCAAGCGCACUGUAGAGGUGCGAUUGGGAAAGGGAGCAGGCAACUGCCCUCGCUUUAGGAUGAGUCUGCGUCUGAUUAGCUAGUUGGUGAGGUAAAGGCUCACCAAGGCGAUGAUCAGUAGCUGGUCUGAGAGGAUGAUCAGCCACACUGGAACUGAAACACGGUCCAGACUCCUACGGGAGGCAGCAGUGGGGAAUUUUGCGCAAUGGACGAAAGUCUGACGCAGCCACGCCGCGUGAGUGAAGAAGGCCUUCGGGUUGUAAAGCUCUGUCGGAAGGGACAAAAACCAUCAUAGUGAAUAGCUAUGGUGCUUGAUGGUACCUUCGAAGGAAGCACCGGCUAACUUCGUGCCAGCAGCCGCGGUAAUACGAAGGGUGCAAGCGUUGCUCGGAAUUAUUGGGCGUAAAGGGCAAGUAGGUGGUCCUACAAGUCUGGAGUGAAAUCCCUGGGCUCAACUCAGGAAGUGCUUUGGAAACUGUAGGACUAGAGUAUCGGAGAGGUUCGCGGAAUUCCCGGUGUAGCGGUGAAAUGCGUAGAGAUCGGGAGGAACACCAGAGGCGAAAGCGGCGAACUGGACGAGUACUGACACUCAACUGCGAAAGCGUGGGUAGCAAACAGGAUUAGAUACCCUGGUAGUCCACGCUGUAAACGAUGGGUAUUAGAGAUGGCAGGAAUCGACCCCGGCCGUCUCGGAGCUAACGCGAUAAAUACCCCGCCUGGGAAGUACGGUCGCAAGACUAAAACUCAAAGGAAUUGACGG
rnacentral:rRNA from 1 species